rnacentral:rRNA from 1 species
GAUGAACGCUGGCGGCGUGCUUAACACAUGCAAGUCGAACGGUGAAGCAGGAGCUUGCUCUUGUGGAUCAGUGGCGAACGGGUGAGUAACACGUGAGCAACCUGCCCCUGACUCUGGGAUAAGCGCUGGAAACGGCGUCUAAUACUGGAUAUGUGAUGUGACCGCAUGGUCUGCAUCUGGAAAGAAUUUCGGUUGGGGAUGGGCUCGCGGCCUAUCAGGUUGUUGGUGAGGUAAUGGCUCACCAAGGCGUCGACGGGUAGCCGGCCUGGGAGGGUGACCGGCCACACUGGGACUGAGACACGGCCCAGACUCCUACGGGAGGCAGCAGUGGGGAAUAUUGCACAAUGGGCGGAAGCCUGAUGCAGCAACGCCGAGUGAGGGAUGACGGCCUUCGGGUUGUAAACCUCUUUUGGCAGGGAAGAAGCGAAAGUGACGGUACCUGCAGAAAAAGCACCGGCUAACUACGUGCCAGCAGCCGCCGUAA